UUUCAUGUUGCUGUUAUGGGAGAAAGUCAGAUAGAAAAGGUUGAGAAGUGAUAGUCUACAGAUACAAGAUUGUUAGAAAAAGUAUGCAGACCGCAGUUGACAAGAGUUGUGCAGAGUAAAGAAUUUGGUUAUCUUGAAAGUGGCUGCUCAGGAAAGAAAGGAUCGGUUGGGGUAAUCAAGGGAUCGACCAUGAGUUGUUUUGAUAUGGGAAGAUUAAGAUAAGGAAAGAGCUAAUAUCCAUAACUCCUUUCAGAGACUGUUCAGUAAAGAGUGUACAUCUAUGUUUUCAGAAUUCGGGGACGAAUUCUUUUGAGGAGGGAAGAAUGUAAUAACCCUCACGAGCAGAUAUAAUUUUGGUCGAGAAAAAUCCCGCUCGACCAGUUUGGAGUUGGUUCGACAAGAAUUAAAAAUAAAAAUCGACCCCGUGAAUUAUUCUUGAUGGGAUUAUCUCGAGGCCAAAGUACCUACUCUUAAUAGUUCUGACCAAGUGUUAAUUAUUAUGGUCGAGUUUUUUCUAAGCUGUACGAGAACCGAUGGAUGGGAAACAUUUUAUCGAAAACUGGUCUUGAAUACUUUCAGCUGCUUGCGAGUCAUGUGCAUGUCAUGUGCUGCCUGGCUGCUUGCUUUCUUCCUAACCUGAACAUGUGACUUGCACCUUCCAGCUUGCUUGCUACAUUAAAGUCAUGUGAGUUGCACACCUGCUUGAAGUUUCUUCAUGGAAAGGAAAUGACAUUACUUCAUGGGAAGGAAAGUGUGAUUCAGCUCACCACAUGUCUCAUACUGAUCUGAAAAUUUUGUCCCUUCUUGCUGACUCUUCUCCUGCUGUUUCCCCUGUCAUUUAUUACCUUGUCCUCUUCAUGGUCGAGCUCAUUCAUCUCAGAAACAAGAAAGAAAAAUUCAGAGAGAAAGAGAGAAAGAAAGAGAGAAAAAUCUGUGAGGAAAAUACAUGAAAAAUUCAGAAAAAAAUAAGAGAAGAGGAGUGUGAGCAUGGCUGACCCUUUCUCACCAUCUUGUGACUUUAAUCAGUGAGUAUUCAUGUGGUAAAGAGUUGGAGAUUUGGUGUCCUGAAGUUGAGAAUCACCCAUGUUCUUCAGCCUUUGGUUUUGAUCGGUUAGGAGUGGCUUCAAUGAUAAGUUGUGUACCAUCUGAAUUCAGAAGAUUGUUGAUUUGAAUCGGUAAGAGCUUAUGGGUUUGAUGAGAUCAGUUUUUGUUAA